AAAACUUUCAACAACGGAUCUCUUGGUUCUGGCAUCGAUGAAGAACGCAGCGAAAUGCGAUAAGUAAUGUGAAUUGCAGAAUUCAGUGAAUCAUCGAAUCUUUGAACGCACAUUGCGCCUCCUGGUAUUCCGGGGGGCAUGCCUGUUCGAGCGUCAUU
rnacentral:rRNA from 2 species